rnacentral:tRNA from 1 species
CGGAGUAUGGCGCAGCCUGGUAGCGCACUUCACUGGGGGUGAAGGGGUCGUAGGUUCAAAUCCUGCUACUCCGACCA